AUGUCGGCCAGCUCGACGAGACUGAACGACUUGUGCCCUGACCGGACCCAGUCGCACUAUUCCUGUGGAAGGAAUCUUUCUACUAAAGCUAGCAGGCUGUGGCAUGCAACCUACCUGCUAGCUGCUAUGCCUACUACAACCCAGCCUGACCUAUUUGUGUCAAAUUGCCUUACCCUGCCGCCGCAAGCGGCCUGCUGCUGGGUAGGGGCUGCCGUCGCACCUUUUCGCAAAAUCGUCCCUCGCUGCAACAAAACAUUGCCCCGACGCGGCGCCUACCUAGGGGCCCGAAUCCCCUUCAUUGCUGAGAGAGCUCGAUUAGCAUUUCAGCUAGCUAGAUCGAUGGGGGUGGGAUACCUCACAGUUCAGGAAUGCAACUCUGAUGAAUCGGAGAUCUUCGCUAAGCACUUCACUGGGUCGGUGUUCCGAGUGAAUGCCCUCCUUGUAGUGAACGCCGUCCUGAUGGGAGUCAUGGUUGUCAUAGGCGCAUACGAUCGCUAUCGCAGCCAUCCAUUGACCCGCUACAUUUUCUUGGGUGCCACUGCAUUGUUCAUUCCCAUAAUCUCCUAUGUCCUAUCUGACAUUGGUAAUCAGAAUGGCCUUAUCCUUUUUGCCGAUGGAGAAAAGAUAAUAGGCCGCCUGUGCAAUUCAAGUUUCCACAUGAAUCUAGUCUUAAUCUGGACUGGUCUUGUUCAAAUGGUUGGUAUCAGCACCACUUUGGUAGUGGUCAGUGAUCCUAGAGAAGGGCGAAACAUUGGCCCAUCUGGGGUACUACUUGUGCAGGCAAUGUGGACUUCCUAUCUUAUGUUCUAUAACAUAGGGUUGAAGUAUCAUGUACCAUACGAGGACCUCUAUAUUGCUUCUGAUAUCAUCAACAUCAACAUUGAGUGGUCUCUGGUAUACGGAUUUUCUCUAGCAAGUUUGGUGAUUAUCCCACCAUUCGCUCUCACCUUUGCAAAGCUAUUUUUCAAGUGUUUUGCAUGGUACAAGGCCAGAAAAUCACUAGCAAUUGGAUGCAAUCCUCGUCUUAUUGUUGGAUACAUGGAGCAGCUACAAGAUGAUCCUGACAUCAUUACAAAUGAUUAUCGGGAUAUACCUCCUCCGCUAAUAGUAAUGGGCGAAGGCACGAUAUCUGUGGACAAGCAGCCCCAUGGUUAUAGCUUCGCACUGAUGCCCAAUAGAGGCGGCUUAGUGACCCUUGAUAAAGUUUGGCAGCUGGAUGACAUGCAUGAUCUCAAGUUGACAUCACAUCUCAAAGAUGUAUGCCUCUCCUUCGCAUUGUCCAAGCUUUUAAGGUGUCGGUUCGCCAGGUACACAAAUGCUGAGAUUGGCUUCACCAAAGCUUCUAGCUUUUUACGGCAUUUGUUACUGGAUGAUAGGGACGAUGGGAGGGUACUUCGAGUGACUGAAUAUGAGCUUUCUUUUCUUCAUGACUUUUACUAUUCAUCCCUCGCAAUCUCAUAUUCAAAGAGCUGGAUGCUGAUAGACAAGAUGAACCAAUGUUCAAUACUGGUGCUACACCCAAGGAAUACUCCAAUGGGACUGCUUUGUCGUCUUAAACCUGGUCAGAAGGUCAAGGUGCCAAGAGCGGUGAAGGCUUCUAUCAUGAAUGCACUGAGAAGCUACGAGAGAAGCCGAGACAAUAACCACAUGCCAUCACUGUGCACAAGGCCGCAGUUGAAGACCAGUGACAACCUCCUUUGGGUGGUUGAUGGCACAAAAGGCAUAGCCAAUACCAUUCUGGUGUGCCACAUCGCCACAAACAUUCUUGAACUCAGGUCAGCUGGCUCAUGUCAACCUCCCUCUGACCAUAAGACCGCUGCCAUUCACCUGUCCCGAUACUGCGCCUACUUGGUAGCCAACUCUCCUGAGCUGCUUCCAGAGGAUGACGAGUGGUGCAAGAGCUUGUACAAGACAGUCAAGAAGAAGGCCGAGCACAUCCUUGCCGGAGUGUCAACAGCUGAAGUGGAGUAUCAGCAGUUGGUGAGGCUGAUGAGCGCUUCACAGAAUCAUGAGGUGCUCAAGGAUGGUGCCAAGCUCGGACAACAGUUGGCGGAGCUAAACCAAGGAGAGACCAGCACGGCAUGGGAGCUCCUCGCCGGCUUUUGGUCGGAGAUGAUGCUGUACAUUGCUCCAUCAGACAACAUUGACGGUCACUCGGAGGCCAUCGCCCGCGGUGGCGAGCUCAUAACGCUCAUAUGGGCAUUGCUCGCACACCUGGGGAUUUCCGGUAGAGCCAAUGACCCGGACAGGUGA
rnacentral:rRNA from 1 species